AAGUGGAAACACUGAUUUCUUCGCUAUAAAAGAAUGGCGGAUUUUUUCAAAUGUGUUUUUUUAUUUGAUUACAAGAUUAGAAGUCAAGAAUAAUCAGAACUGAAGAUGUCCGGAAUCGACAAAAAGAGCAAGUCCUAUUGAAGAGUCGCCGCAAAGACCACCAUUUUAUGAAUACCCAUCAGUGAGUGGAAACUGCAGUAAGACAGAUUUCACCUGCUGUCAGCCUGAUGAGAAUUCUAAAGAUAAUAUAGACGUAACUGAAAAUGAUAAGCAGAUCUCAUCAACAAAAAAAUUAAAUUAGAAAAUGUGGAAAUUGAGCAAUCCACACAGCCGUCUAAAGUAUGUAUCAAGGAAAAUCUUGGAUCCGUAAAGACUGAAAUAAGGUUACGGCGUUCGUCCAGAAUUAAGAAAAAGAAUGGGAGUGGAGAGGGGACAAGGGAGGUCCGCAGGAGCGCGAGAUUAAUGAAGAAGUAAAGCAGCCGCCGUGGGGAGGGAACAGGUGAAAAAAGUCAACAGGAAAAUCUUGGAUCAGUCAAUGUAUGUCCAAGCAAAGAUUAUUCGUUUAACACAAUUUUCCCAACUUAGAAUUGGAGAGAAAAAUGGAGGCGGCAAUGAGACAAGGGAGAUCCGUCGGAGUGCACGGUAUGGCAAUUUAUGUGGAGAGGUACAUGUCCUUUGUCGUAGCCAGAUUUUGAUCCGCAGGAGCGCGAGAUACGCAAUUCAUAGAUGAUUCAAGAUUAUGGACUGUAGGCUGGUGUUUCUCUCUGUCAAUGUAGCCAUCACCAGAUAAUCAAUUUAGUGCAACUGACCCACAUAAUGGGAACAUGGAGAUUGAGCAGUCUACGGUACUCGCACAACAAGGUUUAUAUAUCAAGAGGAAGAGAACAAGAAGAAGAGACGCGAGUCCAAGUAAUAAUUGCUCCAGUUUCCAGCCGGAAAUACAAAGAUCUGAGCUUUCUGAUCACGCACAUAAUUCAACCACCCAGGCCGGCAGAUCCCGUUCAUUUCCACAAAAACGAUGCGAAGAAUUUCCGAAAAGAGAUGGAACACUCGAGCCUAUUUAAAAACACUUGUAUGCAUCUUGAAAGCAAGCAUUCCCUGCAUGUGAAAGAUGAAAAUAUGAAGUUCACUCGUGGAAAAUAUGGCAACAAAUUAAACGGGCAUUUUCUUGUUCUGGGGCCUCUAGGAAAUAGAAGCGAGGUCGUUUCCAGACUUCUUUGUCCCAAUUUUCAUAGUUCCUAGUCAUUUCCAUCUCAUUUUCUGUUGAAUCUUGAUCGUCAGCUAGACUCUGAUGAUAGAGUUCUAUCAUAGUGUAAGUGUGUGCGUGCUCAUUAAAGAAUCUCUUUCAAAUGUUUUGUUUGUUCUUUGUCAACUAAUGUC